rnacentral:rRNA from 1 species
CAAUAAGCGGAGGAAAAGAAAACAACAGGGAUUGCCCUAGUAACGGCGAGUGAAGCGGCAACAGCUCAAAUUUGAAAUCUGGCUCUUUCAGAGUCCGAGUUGUAAUUUGCAGAGGGCGCUUUGGCUUUGGCAGCGGUCCAAGUUCCUUGGAACAGGACGUCACAGAGGGUGAGAAUCCCGUACGUGGUCGCUAGCUAUUGCCGUGUAAAGCCCCUUCGACGAGUCGAGUUGUUUGGGAAUGCAGCUCUAAAUGGGAGGUAAAUUUCUUCUAAAGCUAAAUAUUGGCCAGAGACCGAUAGCGCACAAGUAGAGUGAUCGAAAGAUGAAAAGCACUUUGGAAAGAGAGUCAAACAGCACGUGAAAUUGUUGAAAGGGAAGCGCUUGCAGCCAGACUUGCUUGCAGUUGCUCAUCCGGGCUUUUGCCCGGUGCACUCUUCUGUAGGCAGGCCAGCAUCAGUUUGGGCGGUGGGAUAAAGGUCUCUGUCACGUACCUCUCUUCGGGGAGGCCUUAUAGGGGAGACGACAUACCACCAGCCUAGACUGAGGUCCGCGCAUCUGCUAGGAUGCUGGCGUAAUGGCUGUAAGCGGCCCGUCUUGAAACACGGACCAAGGAGUCUAACAUCUAUGCGAGUGUUUGGGUGUCAAGCCCGAGCGCGUAAUGAAAGUGAACGGAGGUGGGAACCCGCAAGGGUGCACCAUCGACCGAUCCUGAAGUUUACGGAAGGAUUUGAGUAAGAGCAUGGCUGUUGGGACCCGAAAGAUGGUGAACUAUGCUUGAAUAGGGUGAAGCCAGAGGAAACUCUGGUGGAGGCUCGCAGCGGUUCUGACGUGCAAAUCGAUCGUCAAAUUUGGGCAUAGGGGCGAAA